UUAAGCGACUAAGCGUACACGGUGGAUGCCCUGGCAGUCAGAGGCGAUGAAGGGCGUGCUAAUCUGCGAUAAGCGCCGGUAAGGUGAUAUGAACCGUUAUAACCGGCGAUACCCGAAUGGGGAAACCCAGUGUGAUUCGUCACACUAUCAUUAACUGAAUCCAUAGGUUAAUGAGGCGAACCGGGGGAACUGAAACAUCUAAGUACCCCGAGGAAAAGAAAUCAACCGAGAUUCCCCCAGUAGCGGCGAGCGAACGGGGAGGAGCCCAGAGCCUGAAUCAGCAUGUGUGUUAGUGGAAGCGUCUGGAAAGGCGCGCGAUACAGGGUGACAGCCCCGUACACAAAAGCGCAUGUGCUGUGAGCUCGAUGAGUAGGGCGGGACACGUGGUAUCCUGUCUGAAUAUGGGGGGACCAUCCUCCAAGGCUAAAUACUCCUGACUGACCGAUAGUGAACCAGUACCGUGAGGGAAAGGCGAAAAGAACCCCGGCGAGGGGAGUGAAAAAGAACCUGAAACCGUGUACGUACAAGCAGUGGGAGCACAGGUUUACCUGUGUGACUGCGUACCUUUUGUAUAAUGGGUCAGCGACUUAUAUUCUGUAGCAAGGUUAACCGCAUAGGGGAGCCGGAGGGAAACCGAGUCUUAAUUGGGCGUUAAGUUGCAGGGUAUAGACCCGAAACCCGGUGAUCUAGCCAUGGGCAGGUUGAAGGUUGGGUAACACUAACUGGAGGACCGAACCGACUAAUGUUGAAAAAUUAGCGGAUGACCUGUGGCUGGGGGUGAAAGGCCAAUCAAACCGGGAGAUAGCUGGUUCUCCCCGAAAGCUAUUUAGGUAGCGCCUCGUGAACUCAUCUCCGGGGGUAGAGCACUGUUUCGGCUAGGGGGUCAUCCCGACUUACCAACCCGAUGCAAACUGCGAAUACCGGAGAAUGUUAUCACGGGAGACACACGGCGGGUGCUAACGUCCGUCGUGAAGAGGGAAACAACCCAGACCGCCAGCUAAGGUCCCAAAGUCAUGGUUAAGUGGGAAACGAUGUGGGAAGGCCCAGACAGCCAGGAUGUUGGCUUAGAAGCAGCCAUCAUUUAAAGAAAGCGUAAUAGCUCACUGGUCGAGUCGGCCUGCGCGGAAGAUGUAACGGGGCUAAACCAUGCACCGAAGCUGCGGCAGCGAACGUAUCACCCAAGACAACUUUGCGGAGUUGACGAUUGACGGAGCGAAGCGACGUCAAAGCGUUCAUUAAAGUCGAGUUGGCUUAGGGAUACGUUCGUUGGGUAGGGGAGCGUUCUGUAAGCCUGCGAAGGUGGCCUGUGAGGGUUGCUGGAGGUAUCAGAAGUGCGAAUGCUGACAUAAGUAACGAUAAAGCGGGUGAAAAGCCCGCUCGCCGGAAGACCAAGGGUUCCUGUCCAACGUUAAUCGGGGCAGGGUGAGUCGACCCCUAAGGCGAGGCCGAAAGGCGUAGUCGAUGGGAAACGGGUUAAUAUUCCCGUACUUGGUGUUACUGCGAAGGGGGGACGGAGAAGGCUAUGUUGGCCGGGCGACGGUUGUCCCGGUUUAAGCGUGUAGGUGUGUGUUCCAGGUAAAUCCGGUUCACUUUAACACUGAGGCGUGACGACGAGGCACUACGGUGCUGAAGCAACAAAUGCCCUGCUUCCAGGAAAAGCCUCUAAGCAUCAGGUAACAUCAAAUCGUACCCCAAACCGACACAGGUGGUCAGGUAGAGAAUACCAAGGCGCUUGAGAGAACUCGGGUGAAGGAACUAGGCAAAAUGGUGCCGUAACUUCGGGAGAAGGCACGCUGACACGUAGGUGAAGUGAUUUACUCAUGGAGCUGAAGUCAGUCGAAGAUACCAGCUGGCUGCAACUGUUUAUUAAAAACACAGCACUGUGCAAACACGAAAGUGGACGUAUACGGUGUGACGCCUGCCCGGUGCCGGAAGGUUAAUUGAUGGGGUCAGCGCAAGCGAAGCUCCUGAUCGAAGCCCCGGUAAACGGCGGCCGUAACUAUAACGGUCCUAAGGUAGCGAAAUUCCUUGUCGGGUAAGUUCCGACCUGCACGAAUGGCGUAAUGAUGGCCAGGCUGUCUCCACCCGAGACUCAGUGAAAUUGAACUCGCUGUGAAGAUGCAGUGUACCCGCGGCAAGACGGAAAGACCCCGUGAACCUUUACUAUAGCUUGACACUGAACAUUGAGCCUUGAUGUGUAGGAUAGGUGGGAGGCUUUGAAGCGUGGACGCCAGUCUGCGUGGAGCCGACCUUGAAAUACCACCCUUUAAUGUUUGAUGUUCUAACGUGGACCCGUGAUCCGGGUUGCGGACAGUGUCUGGUGGGUAGUUUGACUGGGGCGGUCUCCUCCUAAAGAGUAACGGAGGAGCACGAAGGUUGGCUAAUCCUGGUCGGACAUCAGGAGGUUAGUGCAAUGGCAUAAGCCAGCUUGACUGCGAGCGUGACGGCGCGAGCAGGUGCGAAAGCAGGUCAUAGUGAUCCGGUGGUUCUGAAUGGAAGGGCCAUCGCUCAACGGAUAAAAGGUACUCCGGGGAUAACAGGCUGAUACCGCCCAAGAGUUCAUAUCGACGGCGGUGUUUGGCACCUCGAUGUCGGCUCAUCACAUCCUGGGGCUGAAGUAGGUCCCAAGGGUAUGGCUGUUCGCCAUUUAAAGUGGUACGCGAGCUGGGUUUAGAACGUCGUGAGACAGUUCGGUCCCUAUCUGCCGUGGGCGCUGGAGAACUGAGGGGGGCUGCUCCUAGUACGAGAGGACCGGAGUGGACGCAUCACUGGUGUUCGGGUUGUCAUGCCAAUGGCACUGCCCGGUAGCUAAAUGCGGAAGAGAUAAGUGCUGAAAGCAUCUAAGCACGAAACUUGCCCCGAGAUGAGUUCUCCCUGAGACUUAGAGUCUCCUGAAGGAACGUUGAAGACGACGACGUUGAUAGGCCGGGUGUGUAAGCGCAGCGAUGCGUUGAGCUAACCGGUACUAAUGAACCGUGAGGCUUAACCUU
rnacentral:rRNA from 1 species